UACAGAGGUCCCAAGCGUUGUUCGGAUUCACUGGGCGUAAAGGGUGCGUAGGUGGUGAGGUAAGUCGGAUGUGAAAUCUCCGAGCUCAACUCGGAAAUUGCAUUGGAAACUGCCUUGCUUGAGGGUUGGAGGGGGGACUGGAAUGCUUGGUGUAGCAGUGAAAUGCGUAGAUAUCAAGCGGAACACCAGUGGCGAAGGCGAGUCCCUGGACAACACCUGACACUGAGGCACGAAAGCUAGGGGAGCAAACAGG
rnacentral:rRNA from 1 species